GACGAACGCUGGCGGCGUGCCUAAUACAUGCAAGUCGAACGCAGUGGGGACGGGUGAGUAACACGUGGGUAACCUCCCAUCAGAGGGGAUAACACUUUGAAACAUGUGCUAACCCGCUACUGAUGGAUGGACCCGCGGUGCAUUAGCUAGUUGGUGGGGGAACGGCUCACCAAGGCCACGAUGCAUAGGCGAACUGAGAGGGGGAUCGUACACACUGGGACUGAGACACGGCCCAGACUCCUACGGGAGGCAGCAGUAGGGAAGCUUCGGCAAUGGACGAAAGUCUGACCGAGCAACGCCGCGUGAGUGAAGAAGGUUUUCGGAUCGUAAAACGCUGUUGUUAGAGAAGCGGUAUCUAACCAGAAAGCCACGGCUAACUACGUGCCAGCCGCAGCGGUAAUUC
rnacentral:rRNA from 1 species